rnacentral:rRNA from 1 species
GAUGAACGCUGACAGAAUGCUUAACACAUGCAAGUCGAUGGGGAAGUGGUGCUUGCACCAUGGUAACCAUGGCGGACGGGUGAGUAACGCGUAAGGAACUUACCUGCGGGACCGGGAUAACAGCAGUAAACUGCUGACAAGACCGGAUAAGGUCAUUAAGCUGCAUAGCUUAGUGAUGAAAGGAGACGCCUGCGGAGAGCCUUGCGUCCUAUUAGCUAGUUGGAGGGGUAACGGCCCACCAAGGCGAAGAUAGGUAGCCGGCCUGAGAGGGUGGACGGCCACAAGGGGACUGAGAUACGGCCCUUACUCCUACGGGAGGCAGCAGUGGGGAAUAUUGGACAAUGGGGGCAACCCUGAUCCAGCAAUUCUGUGUGCACGAAGACGGUUUUCGGAUUGUAAAGUGCUUUCAGCAGGGAAGAAGGAAGUGACGGUACCUGCAGAAGAAGCGACGGCUAAAUACGUG